GACGAACGCUGGCGGCGUGCUUAACACAUGCAAGUCGAACGAUGAAGCUGGAGCUUGCUCCGGUGGAUUAGUGGCGAACGGGUGAGUAACACGUGAGCAAUCUGCCCUUGACUCUGGGAUAACUGCGGGAAACUGUAGCUAAUACCGGAUACGAGACUUGGAGGCAUCUCCAGGUCUGGAAAGAAUUUCGGUCAAGGAUGAGCUCGCGGCCUAUCAGCUAGUUGGUGAGGUAAUGGCUCACCAAGGCGACGACGGGUAGCCGGCCUGAGAGGGUGACCGGCCACACUGGGACUGAGACAUGGCCCAGACUCCUACGGGAGGCAGCAGUGGGGAAUAUUGCACAAUGGGCGAAAGCCUGAUGCAGCAACGCCGCGUGAGGGAUGAAGGCCUUCGGGUUGUAAACCUCUUUUAGCAGGGAAGAAGCGAAAGUGACGGUACCUGCAGAAAAAGCACCGGCUAACUACGUGCCAGCCGCCGCAGUAA
rnacentral:rRNA from 1 species